rnacentral:rRNA from 1 species
CCUACGGGAGGCAGCAGUGGGGAAUAUUGCACAAUGGGGGAAACCCUGAUGCAGCAACGCCGCGUGAGUGAUGAAGGCCUUCGGGUCGUAAAGCUCUGUCCUAAGGGAAGAAUACUGACGGUACCUUAGGAGGAAGCCCCGGCUAACUACGUGCCAGCAGCCGCGGUAAUACGUAGGGGGCUAGCGUUAUCCGGAAUUACUGGGCGUAAAGGGUGCGUAGGCGGCCCUUCAAGUCAGAGGUGAAAGGCUACGGCUCAACCGUAGUAAGCCUUUGAAACUGUAGGGCUUGAGUGCAGGAGAGGAGAGUGGAAUUCCCAGUGUAGCGGUGAAAUGCGUAGAUAUUGUGAUGAGCACCGGUUGCGGAGGCUGCUCUCUGGGCUGUAACUGUCGCUGAGGCACGAAAGCGUGUGGAGCGAACAUGAUUAGAUACCCGGGUAGUC